CGGCGAGUGAAGCGGCAACAGCUCAAAUUUGAAAUCUGGCCCUCGUGGUCCGAGUUGUAAUUUGUAGAGGAUGCUUUUGGUUAGGUGCCUUCCGAGUUCCCUGGAACGGGACGCCAUAGAGGGUGAGAGCCCCGUCUGGUUGGACACCGAGCCUCUGUAAAGCUCCUUCGACGAGUCGAGUAGUUUGGGAAUGCUGCUCUAAAUGGGAGGUAUAUGUCUUCUAAAGCUAAAUAUUGGCCAGAGACCGAUAGCGCACAAGUAGAGUGAUCGAAAGAUGAAAAGCACUUUGAAAAGAGGGUUAAAAAGUACGUGAAAUUGUUGAAAGGGAAGCGCUUGUGACCAGACUUGGGCCCGGUCAAUCAUCCAGGGUUCUCCCUGGUGCACUUGGCCGGCCCAGGCCAGCAUCAGUUUGUCGCGGGGGAUAAAGACGUUGGGAAUGUGGCUCCUCCGGGAGUGUUAUAGCCCUUCGUGUAAUACCCUGCUUCGGACUGAGGUUCGCGCAUCUGCAAGGAUGCUGGCGUAAUGGUCAUCAGCGACCCGUCUUGAAACACGGACCAAGGAGUCGUCUUCGUAUGCGAGUGUUCGGGUGUCAAACCCCUACGCGUAAUGAAAGUGAACGCAGGUGAGAGCUUCGGCGCAUCAUCGACCGAUCCUGAUGUUCUCGGAUGGAUUUGAGUAAGAGCAUACGGGGCCGGACCCGAAAGAAGGUGAACUAUGCCUGUAUAGGGUGAAGCCAGAGGAAACUCUGGUGGAGGCUCGCAGCGGUUCUGACGUGCAAAUCGAUC
rnacentral:rRNA from 1 species